rnacentral:rRNA from 1 species
CAGUCAUGCUAGUGAGGAAUCAACUUGAUGGUGUGUGGGUUCGCUCGCAUACUUUCCGGUGCACUUCCUCACUCGGCAGGUUAGCAUCAAUUUCGGUUAUCAUAAAAAAUUUGAGGGAAUGUGACUUUUCUUCGGAAAAGUGUUAUAGACCUUGAUCUAUGUGGUGACCGGGAUUGAGGAUUGCAGCGGAUACCCCUUGUGGCUGGGUCACCGUGGCUUCUGACCGGUUACCCCGCUUUCGAUAGCUCGCUAACAUCGGUGGGACUCGAUUGUCUAGAUGUCAGAGUGAUUG